CGUAACCGUAGGAAAAAUGAUUGCCUCAGUAUAGUGAGUUCAAAAACUACCCUGAAGAAUAAAAGUGUUUUCUGUUUGGCGCCCAAAAUCUAUAACAAAGUACCCAAAGCAAUAAAACAAAUGCCAGAUACAAUGUUUAAAAAAAAUCUUAAAGGGUAUUUAAUAAAUAAGUGCUACUAUAGCAUACAAGAAUUUUUAAUGCCAGAUCGAACCGGAGACCCGAGCGCAGCAGCCGCGCUUUGCGACUACUAGACUACGGACUACUAACGGUGAAGAUUAAAUUACAAUAAUGGGAGUACGAAGAAUAAACAUCCGUUUCAUUUGUUUUUAUUUUUAAAGAUUUUUGUUAUCCGCUUGACAACUCUACCAAUCAACGCAAUCUAUUUGUCAAAUAUACGAAAUCAGCCUCCAAUGACACUAAUUAAAACGUUAUAACUUA